UCAAAGAUGGCGACUGAAUGUCAGGGGUCGAUGAAGACGCGUCUUCAUCCAGCUUCUUUAAUUAAGUUAAAUAAGUUAAAAAACUAAUGUGAGAAGCUUUGGUGGGAGACAGCGACUGUUAAAGCUUCAGAUGACACACAACUCAUAUCUGAAUCUCCGUCUCUAUACAGCUCUUGAAACAAAGGAUUAUCUGUGACCUAACAUUACUGACGUUAACAUGACAAAGAGGCAUACAUUUGUCCAGUCCACACAGAGUAAAACGAUAGGAUCUGCUGUUAAAACUAAAAAGGUCAAAGGUAUGCCACCUUAAGACAACACAACGUGGAAAAAAGCCUGUAAAACAAAGAUGCAACAGCAGUAAAAGAGAUACAUUAAAGUAUCAAUCUUUCAAAAUUCCUAUCUGUAAGUAAUAAAGUUUGUUG